rnacentral:rRNA from 1 species
ACGCACGCUGGCGGCGUGCUUAACACAUGCAAGUCGAACGGAAAGGCCCUGCUUUUGUGGGGUGCUCGAGUGGCGAACGGGUGAGUAACACGUGAGUAACCUGCCCUUGACUUUGGGAUAACUUCAGGAAACUGGGGCUAAUACCGGAUAGGAGCUCCUGCUGCAUGGUGGGGGUUGGAAAGUUUCGGCGGUUGGGGAUGGACUCGCGGCUUAUCAGCUUGUUGGUGGGGUAGUGGCUUACCAAGGCUUUGACGGGUAGCCGGCCUGAGAGGGUGACCGGCCACAUUGGGACUGAGAUACGGCCCAGACUCCUACGGGAGGCAGCAGUGGGGAAUAUUGCACAAUGGGCGGAAGCCUGAUGCAGCAACGCCGCGUGUGGGAUGACGGCCUUCGGGUUGUAAACCGCUUUCGCCUGUGACGAAGCGUGAGUGACGGUAAUGGGUAAAGAAGCACCGGCUAACUACGUG